CCCGAUCCAGGACCCACUGAGGUGUAGAGGUAGCCUCUCCUAGGCUUUGUCUGUGAAUUUGGCCGAGACAUAGCCUGAUUGAGGCUAACUUUAGCCUUAGCACCACACUCAUCUCGUUU
rnacentral:pre_miRNA from 15 species